rnacentral:rRNA from 1 species
GACGAACGCUGGCGGCGUGCCUAACACAUGCAAGUCGAACGAGGUCCAUCCUUCGGGAGAAGACCUAGUGGCGAACGGGUGAGUAACACGUGAAGAACCUGCCCCGAAGACCGGGAUAACCCUCCGAAAGGAGAGCUAAUACCGGAUACCCCACCGAACCGCAUGGUUUGGUGAGGAAAUGGAUUCCGCUUCGGGAGGGCUUCGCGGCCUAUCAGCUAGUUGGUGGGGUAACGGCCACCAAGGCAUCGACGGGUAGCUGGUCUGAGAGGACGAUCAGCCACACUGGGACUGAGACACGGCCCAGACUCCUACGGGAGGCAGCAGUGGGGAAUCUUGCGCAAUGGGCGAAAGCCUGACGCAGCAACGCCGCGUGGGGGAUGAAGGCUCUCGGGUUGUAAACCCCUUUCAGCAGGGACGAAUCAAGACGGUACCUGCAGAAGAAGCCCCGGCUAACUACGUGCCAGCAGCCGCGGUAAU